rnacentral:rRNA from 1 species
UGGGGAAUAUUGGACAAUGGGCGAAAGCCUGAUCCAGCCAUGCCGCGUGUGUGAAGAAGGUCUUCGGAUUGUAAAGCACUUUAAGUUGGGAGGAAGGGCAGUAAGCGAAUACCUUGCUGUUUUGACGUUACCGACAGAAUAAGCACCGGCUAACUCUGUGCCAGCUGCCGCGGUAAUACAGAGGGUGCAAGCGUUAAUCGGAAUUACUGGGCGUAAAGCGCGCGUAGGUGGUUCGUUAAGUUGAAUGUGAAAGCCCCGGGCUCAACCUGGGAACUGCAUCCAAAACUGGCGAGCUAGAGUAGGGCAGAGGAUGGUGGAAUUUCCUGUGUAGCGGAGAAAUGCGUAGAUAUAGGAAGGAACACCAGUGGCGAAGGCGACCACCUGGGCUCAUACUGACACUGAGGUGCGAAAGCGUGGGGAGCAAACAGG